rnacentral:rRNA from 1 species
CUGUAGGCCUGCGAAGGUGGUGGUGUAAACCCUGCUGGAGGUAUCAGAAGUGCGAAUGCUGACAUGAGUAGCGAUAAAGCGGGUGAAAGUCCCGCUCGCCGAAAACCCAAGGUUUCCUACGCAACGUUCAUCGGCGUAGGGUGAGUCGGCCCCUAAGGCGAGGCAGAAAUGCGUAGUCGAUGGGAAACGGGUCAAGAUUCCCGUACCGGUUGUGAAUGCGAUGGGGGGACGGAGAAGGGUAGCUCAGCGGCCUGUUGGAAUAGGUCGUUUAAGCGUGUAGGAGUGGUCUCUUGGCAAAUCCGGAGAUCUUAUCUGAGGCGUGAUGACGAGGGUCUACGGACCUGAAGUGAGUAAUCCCAAGCUUCCAGGAAAAGCCUCUAAGCUUCAGUUCACAACUGACCGUACCGCAAACCGACACAGGUGGGUAGGUAGAGAAUAC